GCUAAACGCGAAGAACCUUACCUGGUCUUGACAUGUCUGGAAUCCCGAAGAGAUUUGGGAGUGCCGCAAGGAACCAGAACACAGGUGCUGCAUGGCUGUCGUCAGCUCGUGUCGUGAGAUGUUGGGUUAAGUCCCGCAACGAGCGCAACCCUUGUCCUUAGUUGCCAUCAUUUAGUUGGGAACUCUAAGGAGACCGCCGGUGACAAACCGGAGGAAGGUGGGGAUGACGUCAAGUCAUCAUGGCCUUUAUGACCAGGGCUACGACACGUGCUACAAUGGCAGGUACAGAGGGAAGCCAACCAGCAAUGGGGAGCCAAUCCCAGAAAGCCUGUCUUAGUCCGGAUUGCAGUCUGCAACUCGACUGCAUGAAGUUGGAAUCGCUAGUAAUCGCAGAUCAGCAUUGCUGCGGUGAAUACG
rnacentral:rRNA from 1 species